UCUUUUGGUUGAUGCCAUAUCUACGGA
rnacentral:sRNA from 1 species